UACAGAGACUGCAAGCGUUAUUCGGAUUCACUGGGCGUAAAGGGUGCGCAGGCGGCCAAGUGUGUGAGGCGUGAAAGCCUGGGGCUUAACCCCAGAAUUGCACCUCAAACUACAUGGCUAGAGCAUUGGAGAGGGUAGCAGAAUUCAUGGUGUAGCAGUGAAAUGCGUAGAUAUCAUGAGGAAUACCAGAGGCGAAGGCGGCUACCUGGACAAUUGCUGACGCUCAGGCACGAAAGCGUGGGGAGCAAAAGGG
rnacentral:rRNA from 1 species